rnacentral:rRNA from 1 species
CAGCCGCCGCGGUAAUACAGAGGGUGCGAGCGUUAAUCGGAUUUACUGGGCGUAAAGCGUGCGUAGGCGGCUAAUUGAGUCGGAUGUGAAAUCCCCGAGCUUAACUUGGGAAUUGCAUUCGAUACUGGUUAGCUAGAGUGUGGGAGAGGAUGGUAGAAUUCCAGGUGUAGCGGUGAAAUGCGUAGAGAUCUGGAGGAAUACCGAUGGCGAAGGCAGCCAUCUGGCCUAAUACUGACGCUGAGGUACGAAAGCAUGGGGAGCAAACAGGAUUAGAUACCCGUGUAGUCCCUGUCUCUUAUAC